rnacentral:rRNA from 1 species
UACAGAGGGGGCAAGCGUUGUUCGGAAUUACUGGGCGUAAAGGGCGCGUAGGCGGCCUGUUAAGUCGGACGUGAAAUCCCUCGGCUCAACCGGGGAACUGCGUCCGAUACUGGCGGGCUUGAAUUCGGGAGAGGGAUGUGGAAUUCCUGGUGUAGCGGUGAAAUGCGCAGAUAUCAGGAAGAACACCCGUGGCGAAAGCGGCUCUCUGGAACGGUACUGAUGCUGAGACGCGAAAGCGAGGGGAGCGAACAGG